GGGGACGUAAUGGUUUCGACAGGGAUGCGUGUAUCAUGGAUAGCGAGCCGGCGUUCCAUUAGGCCGUUAAACGGUGGAACCUUUAAAUUAAACGCAAAAGAAAACUUUGCAUUAGCUGCAUAAGCUACGUCUUACCUCUCUUCGCCCGUGAGAGGGGAUAAGGCGUCAAACUACGGGCUGGUUUAACUCACUUGCUCAAAUGAGUUAAAUAAGAUUCCUUGAGCUGGGACAGUGUAGUUUGUCGUUGUACAAUAGCUGUCUGAGAUUUAAAACAGCGACUGCGCUCGGAGAAGUCCUUGGGGCACCGUUUUUGGACAGGGGUUCGAUUCCCCUCGUCUCCACCA
rnacentral:tmRNA from 1 species